CUGGGAGAGCUGUUUCCUAGCAAUGCUCUGCAUCAUGGAAUGGGAAGCAGGAACCUUUGGAGGAUGGAGACUAACCUUUGCCACAGCAGAGGAAAUGGGAGAUGGAGAUGGAUUGACAGCCCCUCCAAUGGAUAAAGGUCCACUAUGGAGUUUGGGAAGGUCAUGGACUUCCCUAAUUUGAGCACACCAGUGCUCAGUCUAACCAGUUUGGACCCACAGAAUGCAAUGAGUAGAAUGCAUGUCACCCUUCACCAGUUCUGGCUUCUGGAAGGUCUACUAAGAUACACAGAGCAAGCCCUAAUCAGGAUGAAAAGGAUUUAAUGACUGCAUCUGUACUUUUCACAAAGAUUCAGAGAGCAACCCUAUUUUCCUUCAUUGCAAUGGUGGCUUGGGAGAGAAAUUUGGUUAAAAGGCCUUAGGGUGGCUGUCAAGAUCCUAUCCUUGUGGGUGGAAAUGUUGUUCUUAAAACAUAAAAGGAUUGCUCAAAGCCUGGCCACAUCACCCCCUGCCACCCUCAGCUCUCAAAAGGAUAUGCCAUCUACCCCAUCCCAAGCUCCUGUUCUGCAGGUGAAUCACAAAUCAUCAGUUUAGGGAAAGCUCAGUUAUAGGAAGAAA
rnacentral:lncRNA from 1 species